AGUCUGAGCCGUGAGGGAGCGCUUCCACGGAUUUUAUUGGCCUGGGGAAAUUCCGACGAUCGGGUGAACUCCAGACCACCAGAUUCCAUAUGAUCAUCUGGGAGAUAUUUUGAUUCACGUCGUAACUCGUAUUGGCGGUCAUUUGGUACCAUUUUGCCGAGACCGUCGAGACUAAAAAAUUAAGAAGUAUAGGAUUAGAUUGAAGGGGCGAAAUUUAUACUUGAAAAUUUAUUCCAAACAUUGAAACAACAUUUUGUUAUUAACAAAUUGAACUUUUUUCAUUGAUGUGUGUAUUUUUCUGUACUUUCCAUAAUGUCGGGACAGGACUCAUUAAUGAGUUAUGAAUAUUUUAUUUUAAUGAGUCUUCUGUAGUUUUAAUGGACGAUGGAACGCUUGAAUUGUUAAUAUUUAUUAAUAUAAAAAAAGUUUAAUGAUUCAAUUUGUAUGAAAUUUGAAAAGUGAGAAGGAAAGAUUGUUUCAUAAUCGAUAUCAUACAUAAGUAGUUAUUCUAACGGAACUGAAGAAAGAAUCGCGACCUUUUAACUGUUCUCUUUGGAUUUCGAGUGAAGCAAAAUGUAGUCACAUUGUCCCUUUCACUCUUGACAUAUCCCCAGACAAUCCUCCACUUCCCAAUUGCGUUUUCGCCUCAGUCCAUUCGUACAGAUGUGAAGCAGUGAUAAAAGGAGAAAAGGUGAUUCCUCCCAUAAGGGACAAUUUUGUUGGUAAUCUUAAUCUUAACAUCUUACAAUUGGAAACGAAAUUUUUGUCAUUACAGAUUUUAUAACUGACGAAAUUUUUCACACAACAGUGUGAAAAAAAUGAAAAAAAUCUCAAUUCGUCUCUUGAAUCCCAAAAUAUCCAUGAAAAACAAAGCAAUAAUCAAAGUCGAGGUAUCAAAAGAUUUUUAAAAAUACGAUCAACCAUUAAUUCUCUUUAUUACUGCUGAAAAUAUACAUAUUUAUCAUUGCCAUGUACACAUUUGCACGUAAUUCAUAAUUAACUAUUUAUCCUCCCCCAGUCACUCUAAUCGUUAAGUACAAAAUAAUAUCAAGACACCCCAAUAAUUGCUCGAAAGUCACUUUCCCUCAAUUACAAUUACGUGGACAACAAAAAUAAUCAUUCACAUUAUGUAUUGAAACUGUGUCAACUCGUUAUGGUGUUUAUCGAGAGAAUUUCCAUCUAUGUGAAUAUGAAAUUAUUGAUUAAUCAUCUGUUGCAUUUUCUCAACACUAAAUCAAAUUUUUCUGCAAUUGUCAAAUGCCAAUUCUUCUCGUGCGAUUAUCAUUGCCCCUCAAUUUUCUCCCUAUAUACAGACUAUUAUUAGUUAUACACUAAAAUUUCAAUUUCAUCUAUGAUCAUUUUCUAAAUUUUUUUAUUUAUUUAUGUACUCCAUGAAUGUUUUAUGGAAAAUCUUCAUAACAAUUGCGUUAGUAGCUUCAAUGAGUCUGAUGGAAAUUUAACAGUUUCAUUGGAAACACAACUAUUAGGUGAUUUUCUGGGAUAAUUCUAAGAUAUAAGCGACACCUGAUGAUUCCCUUAAAAAUAACCAGCGAUGGUUGGCAGAAAAAUAUAAGGAAAUCGAUUUUUCUUCCAGAAAAAUCUCUUAAUUAUUCAUAGUAGAUAAUAGGAAUAAACGUAUGAGGUAACUGAAUAAAUAAACACUUGUAAAUUCUCAUCAUGAAUUCCGUAAAAAACCUUUAAUUUACGAUGUGGCUCGAUUAGAUUAGAUUCCUUAUGCAUUAAUAAUACCGAGAGAAAAUAAUUGAUUUCUUACAACUGUGUGUUUCUGUAAACAAAGUAAACAAUUUAUAUUAUCAAUUACAUUAAAUAACAAAUUAUAAAAGAUUCAAAACUCUGCAUUGUAGUGUUUUGUGUCUGGCUUGAAGAUAUCGAUGAAUUACUCAUUUAUUCAUAAUUAACAGUGAUUUAAUAGUUAAUAGUUAAUGUGGAAAGUGAUAUUUCAAUCAAGCCAUUCUUCCAUGUUCAUCUGAAUGAAGUAGAAAUAAUAAAUAUUCACAUACAAAUACGUUUUUGAUUAAUAUAUGUAAGAAGUCAGUACUGUUGAAAGAAAAUUGAUGAAAUUAUUCAAUUAAUUUCUUCCUUCUAUCCUAAUCAUUUUAGAAUAAAUUAAAGCCAAUUACGAAAUUUAAUUGAUUUCUCAUCGAAAUGUGUUAAUUACCAUCCAUGUUUUCAAUUGUAAUUUUUUGUCCCAUGUUUCGGUUUCGGUGAGUGCCAGCAGUAUUUCAUAACAAAUAUAAAUAAAGUGGCAUUUUUACAAAGCGAAGAGGAAAUUAAAUGUCAAUCUUUAUAAAACGUUUCGGAUUUCCAACUAAAAACUGAUUUUUGGGAUUCCUUUGCCCUCUUUCCAAUAAGUUCUACUGUUUCUUUAAAUAAAGACAUCGCAAUUUUAAUUCAAUUCUCUACUACAAAUAAAUCCACUAGUGGUUUUCCACUUUUUUUUAAUAAUUAUUACUGCUAGGCGAAGGGAAUAUCUCUUCAUUCCUUCAUUCACUCUCUUGUAUUAUUCUGGGUAAAAUACAUAUGCUGGUACUUUAUAUGUAUAGAUCGAACUACUACGACUGUUUAGGGAUAAUUAACGCAUACAAUCUCGUAAGAAAAAA